rnacentral:rRNA from 1 species
GACGAACGCUGGCGGCGUGCCUAAUACAUGCAAGUCGAACGCUUUGCUUUUCACCGGAGCUUGCUCCACCGAAAAGCAAAGAGUGGCGGACGGGUUAGUAACACGUGGGCAACCUGCCCAACAGAGGGGGAUAACACUUGGAAACAGGUGCUAAUACCGCAUAAUUUGUUUUCCCGCAUGGGAGAAUAAUAAAAGACGCCUUACGGUGUCACUGUUGGAUGGGCCCGCGCUGCAUUAGUUAG